UACGAAGGGGGGCUAGCGUUGCUCGGAAUUACUGGGCGUAAAGGGAGCGUAGGCGGACAUUUAAGUCAGGGGUGAAAUCCCGGGGCUCAACCUCGGAAUUGCCUUUGAUACUGGGUGUCUUGAGUAUGAGAGAGGUAUGUGGAACUCCGAGUGUAGAGGUGAAAUUCGUAGAUAUUCGGAAGAACACCAGUGGCGAAGGCGACAUACUGGCUCAUUACUGACGCUGAGGCUCGAAAGCGUGGGGAGCAAACAGG
rnacentral:rRNA from 1 species